UACGAAGGGGGCUAGCGUUGCUCGGAAUCACUGGGCGUAAAGGGGUGCGUAGGCGGGUCUUUAAGUCAGGGGUGAAAUCCUGGAGCUCAACUCCAGAACUGCCUUUGAUACUGAAGAUCUUGAGUUCGGGAGAGGUGAGUGGAACUGCGAGUGUAGAGGUGAAAUUCGUAGAUAUUCGCAAGAACACCAGUGGCGAAGGCGGCUCACUGGCCCGAUACUGACGCUGAGGCACGAAAGCGUGGGGAGCAAACAGGG
rnacentral:rRNA from 1 species